AGAGGUUUUCUAGGUCUCUGUUUC
rnacentral:piRNA from 1 species